GGUUAAAAAUGUUAUAUGAACUGUUAUGUGUUUGAAUAAACACGUACGCACUCUCUACAAGAUGCCUUUGUCUGUUCAUAUAAUAUAAGGCUUGUGUGUGUCUUAUCUUCAAGGACAAUUACAUACCAGAUCAAAACUGUUACUUCUGUGUGUUACUAAAAUAUCCUGCAUGUAAUGUCGUAUGCUACUUCUAUUUAUCCAAUCAUAUGCUUGCACAUAUUGUAUACACCCAUGUUUCUUUUCUAUAUAGUACGCUGUAAUUUAUUAAAUAAACAGAGUAAUUCUUAACCACUGACUCGUGUGCUGUCUGUAUGGGGUUAAGAACUGCUUUCACUGGUACCAGAGAUGGUUACAUCGAGGAGGCACAAAAAGGGUUAAAUUCCCUUCAGCUGGGGGCUAGGUCCGGGAUCUAGGUGAUCGUCCCCUGCCCGGUAAGAUAGAGAAUUUUAUUGUCUGUCUUUUCCGUUCAGGGAUUGCGAUUACUACUAGAUUUGAACUCAUUCCGUGUUCCGGGAACACGUGACCAAAAAUACAAUCCAAGUCCGGGACUUGGCAGAAAAGAAACUUGUUUUCUUAAAGGCGCCGGGCGCCACAUACAGGUAUCAGGGAUACCAGGACCAGGGGUCCACGAAAUCUUUAAAAGGCACAGGUAUCAGGGAUACCAGGACCAGGGGUCCACGAAAUCUUUAAAAGGCACAGGUAUCAGGGAUACCAAUAGAUGGACCAGAAAUCCAAAUAACAACGCCUCCUCGAUUUGAUCACCUAAAUGUUUGAACCGACACAUCCUUUUCAAGUCGGAGACAAAGUCGUUGUGAAAGUGCUCCCGAGGAACAAAGGUCCAGGAGAUUUCACCUAUGGUCCAGAGACGGAAGUCGUGGCAGUGACCAGGACGGCUGUCCUUACUGAAGAGGGGCCCACGUGGAUUCAUGCAUCCCGAGUAAAGAAGGUACCCAGACCAGACCGUGAGGGAGAUUCCAGAGAGGUACUAACGGGGGCAGACAGCCCUGACCUCCAACAUGGAGAAGAGGACCCUUUUGCUGACAAAACAAACCCAGAAUUCUACUCAAAUAUGGACUCUGAUUACCCUACUUAUACUUGCCUAUCAGACACCCAUAUUCAGAACUGAAGUAGAUAUUACACAAACGAAUGGACAAACCUCCCUAUGGUAUAAUUCAUCCAGCACUCAUGUGGCCACAUAUACUGUAGAAUAUAAAGAUUUUCUUUCAAACUAUAUGUGGAAAAUUAGAGCAAAUAGAUAAGGUAUAGGAACAGAAAUUGUUUAUGUUUGUGUUACCAGCAAGAAUUGGGGAAAGAACUGUGAUCAUUGGGGAGCUGUGGGAUGGAACACUGGUAUUGAUUGGGGUCACAAACCCAGCGAGGCUUUAAGCAAGAAGGAUAAAAAUAACAAGUCCUUAAUGAUGGGGAAGUGGACAUUAUAGUCAAAAGAUAAUAACAGGGAAUACAAACAUUUCACCUAAAAGACAUGUACGCCCUGCUCAAAAUCUAACAAACCACGGCCCAACCCCAUCAUGCCUCACAUAACUACAUUCAAGGAUAUAAUAGCCAUAGAUAACCCCACAUUUAAAGACACUAUGGCCAUUGAGACUGGAUUUUCUGAUAUUAAUUUUUGGGUUGGAAUGGAUGAGAUAUAAUAUAAAGAAGCAUAAUGUGAGCAAUUGUUAUGUAUGUGGUAAAUCUAGACCUCAUUUAGGCACGGUCCCUUUAAAUAUCCCACUAUCUCAAGAAAGCUGUUUUCUUUUUAGUCUCUACAAUGAUACAAAAACCAAUGACAGUGAUUGUGAAACAUGGAAAAAGGAAUACCCCAUACUAUCAAAGAACCCCAACCCAGGUAGCACAAUAACCAUAUACCCAGGUAAUUACACCUGCUAUAUAUCAAACACUACCUCAGGGAAGGAUUUAAAAAUCUUUCCUCCAGGGUACUGUACAGAAAAAAAGAACUACCGUCUUAGUUAAUCAAACUAAGUCUUUAGGUGACAUUUAUUACAUCUGUGGAGAUAUGAAGCUAAGAACUAAAUUAGACACUGCAUGGAAAGGGGAAUGCGUCCUUGCCAAAAUAAUUAUGCCCCUCCACAUUCUUCCAGAUGAUGAACAAAUAUCCCCUCCUGUUGUUUCCCCCAAUAAAAGGAAGAGGGAACUCCCAGGAGGUAGUUUUUGAUCCACAUGUAUAUAUUGAUGCAAUAAGGGUCCCAAGAGGGGUGCCAGACAAAUUCAAAGCUAGAGAUGAAGUAGCUGCAAGAUUUGAAUCCUUAAUCCCUAUAAUAACUGCUAAUAAAAAUGUUGCAUGGAUUAAUUGUAUCUACUAUAAUCAGCAGAGAUUUGUAAAUGACACAAAAGAUGCUCUUAAGGGUCUUUCUGAGCAACUAGAAGCCACUUCCCAGAUGACAUUCCAAAACCAAAUGGCCCUUGAUAUGAUACUAGCAAAAAAGGUGGUACUUGUGUUUACAUUAGUAAGGUAGAAGGGUGUUGUACCUAAUAACCUGACAAUACAGGCCCUAAUGGUAAAGUUACCUUAGCCAUAAAAAAAAACUAGAUGAUUUAUCCAUAGAGCUAAAAAAAGAAUUCAGGUAUUGAUAAUCCACGGAGCCAAUACUUUGGUUGGUUUGAAAAUUGGAAACAGGGUCUUGUUCAACUAGGAAUCUACAUAUUGAUUGUGAUAGCAACCUUUUGUGUUGUUUUCUUUUGCAUUAUACCCUGCUGCAGAAAACUCGCCACAAAAGGUAUUGAAAACUCGCUUAUGUAUGAAGCCGUCCUUACAAUCUCUCCUAAUUCCCCUGCAGCCUAUAAGCAAUACCUAACCGAAUAUGAAAAGAAUCAUGUUAUAUAAAUAUAUGAUUCUAAGAGGGGAUUGAAGGGUUAAAAAUGUUAUAUGAACUGUUAUGUGUUUGAAUAAACACGUACGCACUCUCUACAAGAUGCCUUUGUCUGUUCAUAUAAUAUAAGGCUUGUGUGUGUCUUAUCUUCAAGGACAAUUACAUACCAGAUCAAAACUGUUACUUCUGUGUGUUACUAAAAUAUCCUGCAUGUAAUGUCGUAUGCUACUUCUAUUUAUCCAAUCAUAUGCUUGCACAUAUUGUAUACACCCAUGUUUCUUUUCUAUAUAGUACGCUGUAAUUUAUUAAAUAAACAGAGUAAUUCUUAA